rnacentral:rRNA from 1 species
AUUAACGCUGGCGGCGUGCCUAAUACAUGCAAGUCGAGCGCACAGACGAGGAGCUUGCUCCUCUGACGUUAGCGGCGGACGGGUGAGUAACACGUGGAUAACCUACCUAUAAGACUGGGAGAACUUCGGGAAACCGGAGCUAAUACCGGAUAAUAUAUUGAACCGCAUGGUUCAAUAGUGAAAGACGGUUUUGCUGUCACCUAUAGAUGGAUCCGCGCCGCAUUAGCUAGUUGGUAAGGUAACGGCUUACCAAGGCAACGAUGCGUAGCCGACCUGAGAGGGUGAUCGGCCACACUGGAACUGAGACACGGUCCAGACUCCUACGGGAGGCAGCAGUAGGGAAUCUUCCGCAAUGGGCGAAAGCCUGACGGAGCAACGCCGCGUGAGUGAUGAAGGUCUUCGGAUCGUAAAACUCUGUUAUUAGGGAAGAACAAAUGUGUAAUUAACUAUGCACGUCUUGACGGUACCUAAUCAGAAAGCCACGGCUAACUACGUG